rnacentral:rRNA from 1 species
AUUAAUACCUCAUAGUAUUUUGAAUCGCAUGAUUUGAUUAUUAAAGUUCCAACGGUAAAAGAUGAGUAUGCGUCCCAUUAGCUAGAUGGUAAGGUAACGGCUUACCAUGGCUACGAUGGGUAGGGGUCCUGAGAGGGAGAUCCCCCACACUGGUACUGAGACACGGACCAGACUCCUACGGGAGGCAGCAGUGAGGAAUAUUGGACAAUGGGCGCAAGCCUGAUCCAGCCAUGCCGCGUGCAGGAUGACGGUCCUAUGGAUUGUAAACUGCUUUUGUACAGGAAGAAACACUACUUCGUGAAGUAGCUUGACGGUACUGUAAGAAUAAGGAUCGGCUAACUCCGUG